rnacentral:rRNA from 1 species
UACGUAGGGUGCGAGCGUUAAUCGGAAUUACUGGGCGUAAAGCGUGCGCAGGCGGUUCUCCAAGUCCGUUGUGAAAGCCCCCGGGCUCAACCUGGGAAUGGCAGUGGAAACUAGGGGACUGGAAUCUGGCAGAGGGGGUGGAAUGCCGCGUGUAGCAGUGAAAUGCGUAGAGAUGCGGCGGAACACCGAUGGCGAAGGCCAGCCCCCUGGGCUGAGAUUGACGCUCAGGCACGAAAGCGUGGGGAGCAAACAGG